rnacentral:rRNA from 1 species
CGCUUGACCUCGGAUCAGGUAGGGAUACCCGCUGAACUUAAGCAUAUCAAUAAGCGGAGGAAAAGAAACCAACAGGGAUUGCCCUAGUAACGGCGAGUGAAGCGGCAACAGCUCAAAUUUGAAAUCUGGCGCUUUUAGCGUCCGAGUUGUAAUUUGCAGAGGGCGCUUUGGCGUUGGCAGCGGUCCAAGUUCCUUGGAACAGGUCGUCACAGAGGGUGAGAAUCCCGUACGUGGCCGCGUGUCUUCGCCGUGUAAAGCCCCUUCGACGAGUCGAGUUGUUUGGGAAUGCAGCUCUAAAUGGGAGGUAAAUUUCUUCUAAAGCUAAAUACUGGCCAGAGACCGAUAGCGCACAAGUAGAGUGAUCGAAAGAUGAAAAGCACUUUGGAAAGAGAGUCAAACAGCACGUGAAAUUGUUGAAAGGGAAGCGCUUGCAGCCAGACUUGCCUGCCGUUGCUCAUCCGGGCUUUUGCCCGGUGCACUCUUCGGUAGGCAGGCCAGCAUCAGUUUGGGCGGUGGGACAAAGGUCUCUGUCACGUACCUCCCUUCGGGGAGGCCUUAUAGGGGAGACGCCAUGCCACCAGCCUGGACUGAGGUCCGCGCAUCUGCUAGGAUGCUGGCGUAAUGGCUGUAAGCGGCCCGUCUUGAAACACGGACCAAGGAGUCUAACAUCUAUGCGAGUGUUUGGGUGUCAAGCCCAAGCGCGCAAUGAAAGUGAACGGAGGUGGGACCCCGCAAGGGUGCACCAUCGACCGAUCCUGAUGUCUUCGGAUGGAUUUGAGUAAGAGCAUGGCUGUUGGGACCCGAAAGAUGGUGAACUAUGCUUGAAUAGGGUGAAGCCAGAGGAAACUCUGGUGGAGGCUCGCAGCGGUUCUGACGUGCAAAUCGAUCGUCAAAUUUGGGCAUAGGGGCGAAAGACUAAUCGAACUAUCUAGUAGCUGGUUCCUGCCGAAGUUUCCCUCAGGAUAGCAGUAACGUAUUCAGUUUUAUGAGGUAAAGCGAAUGAUUAGAGGCCUGGGGGUUGAAAACAACCUUCACCUAUUCUCAAACUUUAAAU